AACGCACCUUGCGCUCCUUGGUAUUCCGAGGAGCAUGCCUGUUUGAGUGUCAUCGAAACCUCAGAUCGACGCUUCGACCCCGUCGGAGCUCGGUCUGGACUAUGGGAGUCUGCGGGCGAAGCGUCGCUUCGUCGGCUCUCCUCAAAAGCAUUAGCCGUGGGUGGCGAGCCUGGCGUGGCACGGCCUCUUCGACGUCGUAAUGAUCGUCGUGGGCUGGAAGCGUAAGGCUCGGCGGACCCAUGCUUCGCAACCCUUGCGAGCCCGUCCCCUUGCGAGGACGGCCGCGUCCCAUCGAAGCUUGGCCUCAAAUCAGGUAGGACUACCCGCCGAACUUAA
rnacentral:misc_RNA from 1 species